UACGGAAAUACAGAGUGUGUAUGGGUG
rnacentral:piRNA from 1 species